rnacentral:lncRNA from 1 species
ACUAAGGCCGAGUAUAGCUACAGAAGCAGCACAAGUAUCUUGGGUAUGAGAAGAAGCAUCACCCUUUAUGCAGACGUUCCCGUCUUCUCCAUCUUACUUGCGGCCAACUCCGACCAAUUCCCACCAUGGGGGCAACGUCUCAUCUUUAUAAAGGAGAAGAAGAAAGUCGUACAGACUCAACUUGAUCCUGCCCUUAGAGCAUUUACUAGGUCCUGCAUGAUGGUUUUCCUGAUAAUCCACUUCCAGGCC